AUAUAAACAUGCAUGAUAAUUUGUGAUAAUGAAUAUUAAAUAAAUUCGUUGCAUCACUAAUUUUGAGUCGUGAUACACCUAUACCAAAAACUGCCAAAAGCAUAACCUACAAUACUCAAAUUAGUGGUAAGGAUUUGCUCUAUGUAUGGAUUAUCGGAAAAAUUAUCACGACAGAAAAUCAUGAUAAUCAAAACUGUAUAUUGACCAAUGAUAGUUCCAAUAAUCGUGUAAUUGAUAGAAGGUAGUUCAAUACCCUUGUUGAAUUUGUACUCGAAAAUAUUCUUGAUGAUAAAAUACGCGCCCAGAAUUGCAAAAUGGUAAUUUCCUUGUACCAUGGAUGUGAUCACGUAGAAAAUGAUGAUGAUCAUGGCAAUUUUUUUAUUGUUCAUGUUCUCCAUCAUGUUCUUGAACAUUAUGUCAACGAAUUAUUAUUAACAAAUUAUUAUUAACAAAUCCACUAGAUUUGGUAUUAAUGAUAGUAACUAUAAGGAACGUUUUGAGAAUUAAAUUUUCAAUUUUUUAGUUAUCAAACAAUUUCGCCAUAUUGUAUUCUCUAUUUUCUAUGAAUAAACGAUUACGAUCAUAAACACCAUAUUCAAUUUCAUCAAACAUUAAUUCGCAAUAUUUUUCGAUAUCAGUCUCUAAAUUUUGUAUUAAGAUUAAGUCUUUGUAAAUUCUAGAAGAAUUCAUGGAUGUUUUCAUUAAAUUCUGAUAAUUUAAUUUCAGAAAUUGUAGACUUUCAAACCAUUCAUUCAUAUCAGUACCAUUGGUUAUAUCAAUAAUUUCAUUAACAAAACUAACAUUUUCUUUAUCAAAAGUGAUAAAUUUUUUGUUUCUAAAUUCAUGUUGUUUUACAUAAGGUAUUAAUCCUGUUGUAUGUUGGUGAUGGCGGAUAGACACAUUGUGAUUGUCAUCAAUAAAACUCAAACACGAUAAUAAUAGUAGAGAAUUAUUUUGCAAUUUAUUAGUCCAAUCAAUAAAUUU
rnacentral:sRNA from 1 species